UAAGCGGAGGAAAAGAAACCAACAGGGAUUGCCCUAGUAACGGCGAGUGAAGCGGCAACAGCUCAAAUUUGAAAUCUGGCCCCCUCGGGGUCCGAGUUGUAAUUUGCAGAGGGUGCUUUGGUGUUGGCUGUGGUCCAAGUUCCCUGGAACAGGACGUCGCAGAGGGUGAGAACCCCGUACGUGGCCGCCAGCCUUCGCCGUGUAAAGCCCCUUCGAAGAGUCGAGUUGUUUGGGAAUGCAGCUCUAAAUGGGAGGUAAAUUCCUUCUAAAGCUAAAUAUUGGCCAGAGACCGAUAGCGCACAAGUAGAGUGAUCGAAAGAUGAAAAGCACUUUGGAAAGAGAGUGAAACAGCACGUGAAAUUGUUGAAAGGGAAGCGCUUGGAGCCAGACGUGCCCGUAGUUGCUCAGCCGGGGUCUUCCCCGGUGCACUCUUCUGCGGGCAGGCCAGCAUCAGUUUGGGCGGUCGGACAAAAGCCUGCUAAACGUACCUCCCCCCGGGGAGGACUUAUAGGGUAGGUGGCAUACGACCAGCCCGGACUGAGGACCGCGCAUCUGCUAGGAUGCUGGCGUAAUGGCUGUAAGCGGCCCGUCUUGAAACACGGACCAAGGAGUCUAAAAUCUAUGCGAGUGUUUGGGUGUCAAGCCCGAGCGCGCAAUGAAAGUGAACGCAGGUGGGAACCCCUCGGGGUGCACCAUCGACCGAUCCUGAUGUUUUCGGAAGGAUUUGAGUAUGAGCAUAGCUUUUGGGACCCGAAAGAUGGUGAACUAUGCCUGAAUAGGGUGAAGCCAGAGGAAACUCUGGUGGAGGCUCGCAGCGGUUCUGACGUGCAAAUCGAUCGUCAAAUUUGGGCAUAGGGGCGAAAGACUAAUCGAACAUG
rnacentral:rRNA from 1 species